rfam:Sphaeroforma arctica JP610 cont1.6529, whole genome shotgun sequence.
AGCUGCAUGGUGUAAUGGUUAGCACGUUCGCCUCUGAACUCAGAGCGUGACAGCGGGAGAUUGCGGUUCGAUUCCGCGUGCGGCAA